GAUGAGGUGGCCGAGAGGUUAAGGCGCAUGGACUGUUCAUCCAUUGUGCUCUGCACGCUGCAGGUCGAGUCCCACCCUCAUCG